rnacentral:lncRNA from 1 species
AAACUGAAUGUAUGCCUCUGUUAUUAUGGGCGGGCUCCCAAUUUCAACACUUGAAAGUAAAGACUGAAAUGUAUUCCUCUCGUUAUACAGGUGGGCGCCUGGAUCAUGGAAUGCAAAUACUAAAAUGUAUUCCUCUCGUUAUACAGGUGGGCGCCUGGAUUUAGGAAAAUGACUCUUUUUUUUUCAAACGUUUUUCUUUUCUUUUCUUUUUUUUUUUGGUAUCUUAGGAGAAAGAUUCAUCAGACUAAGAUUUUGAUCCUAGGAGAAGGUUCAUCAGACUAGGUCUUUUCUUUUUGUUAUCUUAGGAGAAAGAUUCGUCAGACUAAGAUUUUGAUCCUAGGAGAAGGUUCGUCAGACUAGGUCUCUAUCUUAGGAGAAAAAUUCAUCAGACUAAGAUUUU